AAUUUUCCUUAUAUCUAACUUGAACCUUCCCUGGAAUGACUUGAGGCAAUUAGCUAUUGUCCUAUUUCUGGCUACCUGGGAAAAGAAGCCGACUAACUCAUAGUUUUCCUGUCACACUAUAAUUUCUAGAUCCUCCUGUUUGUUGCCCCCAUUCUGUUCAUUGGGCAACCAAUUGUCUUAUCUUAUAGUGAUGAGUUCUUUGAUCUGUCCUGUUUGUUGCCCCCAUUCUGUGCAUUGGGCAACCAAUUGUCUUACCUUAUAGUGAUGAGUUCUUUGAUCUGUCCUGGCAGGCCAGACAGGAUCUCUGCUUGAGCAAGGAUGCCUCUGGAGGUUCUGCUUCUUGCAGAUUUCCCUUACAGUUGCGCCUUAAUGUCAAGAUGCCUUGCUAAUGCAUCACAGAAUCAUAGAAUGGCCUGAGUUGGAAAGGACCACAAUGAUAAUCUCGUUUCAGUCCCCUGCUAUGUGAAGGAUUGCUAAACCAGGCUGCCCAGCACCUGGGCAUAUACAUAUGAUGAUCUAUAUACAUGUCAUUGAGAAGGAAACUUCACCAGAAAUGUGUGAAUAUAUAAACUUUUUUGACACAUGCACAGGUGUCAGACGGAAACCGGAAGAUACAGAAGUUCUCCCAAAAUUACUGAUAUCAUUUUCCUUUAAAUGGAUACAAAUGAUAAAUCAGAACAGACCUAACAGAAAUUCCGGAGGGACUUCAUGAGAAGUGAUGUUAUAGAUGCCCAUGAGAGUACGGAUUGUGCAAGAACUGCGCUGCUCUUGUAGAGAAAAACAGUUAGAAGAUUCUAUGGCUUUGCAUCUGAUGAUUCACUGAUUUAAGUUCACUUAAUUAGAAAAGUAUAAUUUAACAAUACCAGAGAUUCUAAGGUCAAGAAAUCCUUGUAAAGAAGAAUUUUUGUUGUUCUCACUAAUGAACAAGGGCUGUCUAGACAGUAACAUAGAAUAAAAUAACAUAGAACCCUGCA
rnacentral:lncRNA from 1 species